GGGUGAGUAACACGUGGAUAACCUACCUAUAAGACUGGGAUAACUUCGGGAAACCGGAGCUAAUACCGGAUAAUAUAUUGAACCGCAUGGUUCAAUAGUGAAAGACGGUUUUGCUGUCACUUAUAGAUGGAUCCGCGCCGCAUUAGCUAGUUUGUAAGGUAACGGCUUACCAAGGCAACGAUGCAUAGCCGACCUGAGAGGGUGAUCGGCCACACUGGAACUGAGACACGGUCCAG
rnacentral:rRNA from 1 species